UGUUAUUCAUAUCUCUGCACAACUUAUACCCAAUGUGGGAAUAAAUGUAAUCAUAAAUACGGAUCUGCUUCUCACUUACAAAGUAGGCCACAAUGUAACCAACAUAAGAAUGCUGGCAGAUGUAAUUUCGGUGGUGCAGAUUGUGCAGGAUUUUUCUGGUAACCCAAAACUGAGCAUAAGCUCUUGUGACACAAAAAUACAAGAUUUUCAGGUCUUCCAGGAGACUGAUGGCCUAGAACAGAUGAGAAACCUAAUAACAAUCGCCCUGAAUCAUAAGCUCUGCCUGAUCUCCACCAGCAUCCUCCUGGGCAUUAAUGUUCAGCUGGGUGAAUUUGCAUG